AAUCGGUUCCACGACAAAGAAGGACGUGUCCUCACAGUCGCACCGAGGGGAAUGAACCACGGCAAAAGCACUUUAAGUGGAAAGCCGAAACAGCAAGUGUCGGGUAGAGUUUGGUAGGCCACACCAAGGCUCGAAGAACUCAGGCCCG
rnacentral:sRNA from 12 species